AGCUUGCGUCCUUGGGUGACGAGUGGCGGACGGGUGAGUGAUGUCUGGGGAUCUGCCCGAUAAGGGGGGAUAACCACUGGAAACGGUGGCUAAUACCGCAUAACGUCGCAAGACCAAAGAGGGGGACCUUCGGGGCCUCUUGCCAUCAGAUGUGCCCAGAUGGGAUUAGCUAGUAGGUGGGGUAACGGGCUCACCUAGGCGACGAUCCCUAGCUGGUCUGAGAAGAUGACCAGCCACACUGGAACUGAGACACGGUCCAGACUCC
rnacentral:rRNA from 1 species